GCUUGCUUCAGCAGCCCAUAUAUUAAAAUUGGAAUAGUACAGAGAAGAUUAGCAUGGCCCUGAACAAGGAUGACACACAAAUUCGAAGCAUUCCGUAUUUAA